UACAGAGACUGCGAGCGUUAUUCGGAUUCACUGGGUUUAAAGGGUGCGUAGGUGGGCAGGUAAGUCAGUGGUGAAAUCUCCGAGCUUAACUCGGAAACUGCCGUUGAUACUAUUUGUCUUGAAUAUUGUGGAGGUAAGCGGAAUAUGUCAUGUAGCGGUGAAAUGCUUAGAUAUGACAUAGAACACCAAUUGCGAAGGCAGCUUACUACACAACGAUUGACGCUGAGGCACGAAAGCGUGGGGAUCAAACAGG
rnacentral:rRNA from 1 species